UUGUGUUGUCAGCCAUAAAAAAAAAAAGAAAUAAUAGUUGUACGAUCAUACGAUGUCAGGUCGACCCAAAUGCCUGAUACGAUAAAUAAAUUGAUAAUAUAAUGCUAGAGAUAUUUGAACAAAAAAUAAUGGUAGAGAUAAUGUUCUGAAAAGCAGAUGAUGCAGCAGGCAUGCCCAUCUUAAUGCGUUUGCUUGCUAGCCUCGUGAUUCUAUGCCGCUCUUCAUGCUCUAGCAUUCCCAAGAUAACUUAGUUUAUCAGCUGGUGGCUUAAAUUAUAGAAAUGAUAGUGACAUAGUGUGUGUAAACAAAUAUAGUUUAAUCAUAAACUGUAAUAGUCCAACUCGACAUUAGUUUACUUCUAUAGUGAUUACAUCUGGUCACCAAAAAAGGUGUCCACCCG
rnacentral:lncRNA from 1 species